rnacentral:tRNA from 1 species
GCCGGUAUAGCUCAGCUGGCAGAGCAACACAUUCGUAAUGCGUAGGUCGGUGGUUCAAGUCCACUUACCGGCA